CGGCGGACGGCUGAGUAACGCGUGGAACGUGCCCAAAGUGAGGGAUAAGCUCCAGAAAUGGAGUCUAAUACCGCAUAUGGUCUUCGGAUUAAAGCUUCGGCGCUUUGGGAGCGGCCCGCGUAAGAUUAGAUAGUUGGUGAGGUAAAGGCUCACCAAGUCUACGAUCUUUAGCUGGUCUGAGAGGAUGAUCAGCCAGACUGGGACUGAGACACGGCCCAG
rnacentral:rRNA from 1 species